UUAAGUUAUUAAGGGCGCACGGUGGAUGCCUUGGCACUAGAAGCCGAUGAAGGACGUUACUAACGACGAUAUGCUUUGGGGAGCUGUAAGUAAGCUUUGAUCCAGAGAUUUCCGAAUGGGGAAACCCAACAUGAGUUAUGUCAUGUUAUCGAUAUGUGAAUACAUAGCAUAUCAGAAGGCACACCCGGAGAACUGAAACAUCUUAGUACCCGGAGGAAGAGAAAGAAAAUUCGAUUCCCUUAGUAGCGGCGAGCGAAACGGGAAGAGCCCAAACCAACAAGCUUGCUUGUUGGGGUUGUAGGACACUCUAUACGGAGUUACAAAGGACGACAUUAGACGAAUCAUCUGGAAAGAUGAAUCAAAGAAGGUAAUAAUCCUGUAGUCGAAAAUGUUGUCUCUCUUGAGUGGAUCCUGAGUACGACGGAGCACGUGAAAUUCCGUCGGAAUCUGGGAGGACCAUCUCCUAAGGCUAAAUACUCUCUAGUGACCGAUAGUGAACCAGUACCGUGAGGGAAAGGUGAAAAGCACCCCGGAAGGGGAGUGAAAUAGAACCUGAAACCGUGUGCUUACAAGUAGUCAGAGCCCGUUAAUGGGUGAUGGCGUGCCUUUUGUAGAAUGAACCGGCGAGUUACGAUUUGAUGCAAGGUUAAGCAGUAAAUGUGGAGCCGUAGCGAAAGCGAGUCUGAAUAGGGCGUUUAGUAUUUGGUCGUAGACCCGAAACCAGGUGAUCUACCCUUGGUCAGGUUGAAGUUCAGGUAACACUGAAUGGAGGACCGAACCGACUUACGUUGAAAAGUGAGCGGAUGAACUGAGGGUAGCGGAGAAAUUCCAAUCGAACCUGGAGAUAGCUGGUUCUCUCCGAAAUAGCUUUAGGGCUAGCCUCAAGUGAUGAUUAUUGGAGGUAGAGCACUGUUUGGACGAGGGGCCCCUCUCGGGUUACCGAAUUCAGACAAACUCCGAAUGCCAAUUAAUUUAACUUGGGAGUCAGAACAUGGGUGAUAAGGUCCGUGUUCGAAAGGGAAACAGCCCAGACCACCAGCUAAGGUCCCAAAAUAUAUGUUAAGUGGAAAAGGAUGUGGCGUUGCCCAGACAACUAGGAUGUUGGCUUAGAAGCAGCCAUCAUUUAAAGAGUGCGUAAUAGCUCACUAGUCGAGUGACACUGCGCCGAAAAUGUACCGGGGCUAAACAUAUUACCGAAGCUGUGGAUUGUCCUUUGGACAAUGGUAGGAGAGCGUUCUAAGGGCGUUGAAGCAUGAUCGCAAGGACAUGUGGAGCGCUUAGAAGUGAGAAUGCCGGUGUGAGUAGCGAAAGACGGGUGAGAAUCCCGUCCACCGAUUGACUAAGGUUUCCAGAGGAAGGCUCGUCCGCUCUGGGUUAGUCGGGUCCUAAGCUGAGGCCGACAGGCGUAGGCGAUGGAUAACAGGUUGAUAUUCCUGUACCACCUAUAAUCGUUUUAAUCGAUGGGGGGACGCAGUAGGAUAGGCGAAGCGUGCGAUUGGAUUGCACGUCUAAGCAGUAAGGCUGAGUAUUAGGCAAAUCCGGUACUCAUUAAGGCUGAGCUGUGAUGGGGAGAAGACAUUGUGUCUUCGAGUCGUUGAUUUCACACUGCCGAGAAAAGCCUCUAGAUAGAAAAUAGGUGCCCGUACCGCAAACCGACACAGGUAGUCAAGAUGAGAAUUCUAAGGUGAGCGAGCGAACUCUCGUUAAGGAACUCGGCAAAAUGACCCCGUAACUUCGGGAGAAGGGGUGCUCUUUAGGGUUAACGCCCAGAAGAGCCGCAGUGAAUAGGCCCAAGCGACUGUUUAUCAAAAACACAGGUCUCUGCUAAACCGUAAGGUGAUGUAUAGGGGCUGACGCCUGCCCGGUGCUGGAAGGUUAAGAGGAGUGGUUAGCUUCUGCGAAGCUACGAAUCGAAGCCCCAGUAAACGGCGGCCGUAACUAUAACGGUCCUAAGGUAGCGAAAUUCCUUGUCGGGUAAGUUCCGACCCGCACGAAAGGCGUAACGAUUUGGGCACUGUCUCAACGAGAGACUCGGUGAAAUCAUAGUACCUGUGAAGAUGCAGGUUACCCGCGACAGGACGGAAAGACCCCGUGGAGCUUUACUGUAGCCUGAUAUUGAAAUUCGGCACAGCUUGUACAGGAUAGGUAGGAGCCUUUGAAACGUGAGCGCUAGCUUACGUGGAGGCGCUGGUGGGAUACUACCCUAGCUGUGUUGGCUUUCUAACCCGCACCACUUAUCGUGGUGGGAGACAGUGUCAGGCGGGCAGUUUGACUGGGGCGGUCGCCUCCUAAAAGGUAACGGAGGCGCUCAAAGGUUCCCUCAGAAUGGUUGGAAAUCAUUCAUAGAGUGUAAAGGCAUAAGGGAGCUUGACUGCGAGACCUACAAGUCGAGCAGGGUCGAAAGACGGACUUAGUGAUCCGGUGGUUCCGCAUGGAAGGGCCAUCGCUCAACGGAUAAAAGCUACCCCGGGGAUAACAGGCUUAUCUCCCCCAAGAGUUCACAUCGACGGGGAGGUUUGGCACCUCGAUGUCGGCUCAUCGCAUCCUGGGGCUGUAGUCGGUCCCAAGGGUUGGGCUGUUCGCCCAUUAAAGCGGUACGCGAGCUGGGUUCAGAACGUCGUGAGACAGUUCGGUCCCUAUCCGUCGUGGGCGUAGGAAAUUUGAGAGGAGCUGUCCUUAGUACGAGAGGACCGGGAUGGACAUACCUCUGGUGUACCAGUUGUCGUGCCAACGGCAUAGCUGGGUAGCUAUGUGUGGACGGGAUAAGUGCUGAAAGCAUCUAAGCAUGAAGCCCCCCUCAAGAUGAGAUUUCUCAACUUCGGUUAUAAGAUCCCUCAAAGAUGAUGAGGUUAAUAGGUUCGAGGUGGAAGCAUGGUGACAUGUGGAGCUGACGAAUACUAAUCGAUCGAAGACUUAAUC
rnacentral:rRNA from 1 species